GACGAACGCUGGCGGCGUGCUUAACACAUGCAAGUCGAACGGAAAGGCCUGCUUUCCCUUGUGGAUUGCGGGUGCUCGCGUGGCGAACGGGUGAGUAAAACGUGAGUGAUCUGCCCCUAAAUAGGGUAUAAGCCUGGGUAACUGGGGCGAAUUCCCGAUAGGACUGUAGGGUGGUGCCUGUGGUGGAAAACGAUUUUCUAGUGGUUGGGGAUGAGCUAGCGGACUAUCAGCUUGUUGGUGGGGUAAUGGCCUACCAAGGCGGCGACGGGUAGACGGCCAGAGAGUGCGGACGGACAGAUUCGAACUGAUAUACAGCCCAGACACCUGCGGGAGGCAGGAGAACGGACAAAUGCACAAUGGGCGGAAGACUGACGCAGCGACGCCGAGACAGGGAUGCCGGCCUUCGGGUGAUGAGCUCCUCUAGCCCGCGAGGAAGCCAAAUCGUUGGAAGUGUAGUGACGGUAGUAGUAGAAGAAGCACCGGCUGACUACGUG
rnacentral:rRNA from 1 species